rnacentral:rRNA from 1 species
UACGUAGGGGGCAAGCGUUGUCCGGAUUUAUUGGGCGUAAAGAGCGUGUAGGCGGCCAGGUAGGUGGGUUGUGAAAACUGGAGGCUCAACCUCAGAGGUCGACCCAAACCCCCUGGCUAGAGUCCGGAAGAGGAGAGUGGAAUUCCUGGUGUAGCGGUGAAAUGCGCAGAUAUCUGGAGGAACACCGGUGGCGAAGGCGACGCCUGGACCGGCAUUGACGCUGGAGGCGCGAAAGCCAGGGGAGCGAACGGG